CCUACGGGGGGCAGCAGUGGGGAAUAUUGGGCAAUGGAGGCAACUCUGACCCAGCAACGCCGCGUGAAUGAUGAAGUUCUUCGGAUUGUAAAGCUCUUUUCUAAGGGAAGAAGAUAGUGACGGUACCUUAGGAAUAAGCCUCGGCUAACUACGUGCCAGCAGCCGCGCUAAUACGUAGGAGGCAAGCGUUAUCCGGAAUGACUGGGCGUAAAGGGUGCGUAGGUGGUUAGACAAGUUAGUAGCGCAACUCCGGAGCUCAACUUCGGAACUACUACUAAAACUGUUGGACUUGAGUGCAGGAGGGGCAAGCGGAAUUCCUAGUGUAGCGGUGGAAUGCGUAGAUAUUAGGAGGAACACCAGUGGCGAAGGCGGAUUGCUGGACUGUAACUGACGCUGAGGCACGAAAGCGUGGGGAGCAAACAGGAUUAGAUACCCCUGUAGUC
rnacentral:rRNA from 1 species